rnacentral:rRNA from 1 species
UACGGAGGGUGCAAACGUUGCUCGGAAUCAUUGGGCGUAAAGGGCGCGUAGGCGGAUAUUUAAGUUGGGGGUGAAAUCCCGGGGCUCAACCUCGGAAUUGCCUUCAAAACUGGAUAUCUUGAGUUCGGGAGAGGUGAGUGGAACUCCGAGUGUAGAGGUGAAAUUCGUAGAUAUUCGGAAGAACACCAGUGGCGAAGGCGACUCACUGGCCCGAUACUGACGCUGAGGCGCGAAAGCGUGGGGAGCAAACAGG